GAGCAAUUGAUAUUUACCUUAAAGUACGUAUUUCUGAUGUUUUCUUUUGAUUUUCAAUAUCUGGAAAGAAAGUUUAUUAUUAUUUGCAGCAAAACCAAAUGAAGAAAGGAGUAAAUCUAAUUAGGCAAUAUUUGAUAUUAUAUUAAAAAAGGGCUUUGUGGCAUGUCACAGAGACCUGUGCCUUUAACAACUUGGGUAAGCACGGCUUUCCAGAUUACAAAUACAAAAUAUACAGCCACUUCUUGUUUCCCAGAUUUCUGGGCUUAGUUUCAUGUUAAAAUAUAUUUUGUUGCAGUCAAGUUUCUCUUUUUUAAAAAAUAUAUAUUUUUAUCACUAUGGCUAACUAAAGUAGUGGAUUAGGCUUUCUUAGUCUCAAUUGACAAGUAGAUGAAAUUCAUCUAUACGCUUGUCAUUGUUUUCAAAAUUUCUACCUCUAAUUCUUUUUCAACCACAUAUCCAGGCUCAUCAGGGUUUCUCAGAUUCUGACAGGAAGAAGCUC
rnacentral:misc_RNA from 1 species